CGCGAGGGAGCCGCCGGCCGCACGAUCCGCCCCGGCGCGGCCGCCUCGCCAAACAGGAACACGGAGGUCGGGAAGCUCCCUCCCAGCCCGGAGCUUGAACUUGAACGCGGCCGGCCGCUCGCGCAGGACCACACCGCCACCUCCCGGCGCGGCCCCAGAACCCAGAUAAUCCGUUUAAAGCACUGAGAAAAUCUAAGAAGUUUUUAGUAAACUGUAGCUGGUAUCAGGGAUCAGAUCAGCGGACACGCCCAUUCCAGCAGUCAGGGGCCUGCUCGGACCGUCGUGCACCUCCGAGCGUUUCUGUCCGGUCCCUCUGGGUCCGUCUGGUUUUCGGAGGCUUUCCUGGAAAAGCCAGCCUGUGGCUACCUCCUUUCUCCCCUAAGUGAUGGAGGAUUAGAAGGCAGAGGUUGACCCACAAUCUAAAGUGCCUGGUCGCCUUUUCCCAGAUUUCCCGGAGCAUUCCUUCACCCCGUGGCAUCGGCUGUCUGCAUAUGGGUGCAAGGCCCUGUUCCGGGCGGAGAAUAAACAGGAGUUCUGACUGACAGGAGCUCCGCAGCCAGCAGGGUGGUCACUAGUUCUCUGCAGUCUCGGAGGACAGCCCUGAAGAAGGGCAGGAGAACCAGCACUUCCUCCGAAAACUCAAAAGGACAUCAGUCUUCACCAAGUUGCCGAUACAAAACGUGCUCCUGAAAUGUGUAGUAAUGAACACCAGGAAACCUGGGUAGGAGUGUGCAUGGCAUUCUUCAUCACCGCUUGGACUGCAUGGCACUGAAUACCCACGGAGAGCAGGAUGGAGAAACAGUGUGCUCAUAUUCACAGGAUGGAAUCUAGCCAUUCACAAAAAUUCCAAAACAGGCAAAAUUAAACUGCAUUCUUUAGGGAAGCAUCAUUAAGUAGUAAAUAAUUGACAGAAGGGCAAGAAGGUGCUUACUCUAAGUGUCAGAAUGGUGGAUACAGCUGGGGGUGAGAGGGCUGUGACCACAGCAGGGCCCCUGGGGGAUUUGGGGGUGCCAGGCCUGUUCCUUCCUGCAAUGGUGCCCUUUGGCAGCCAUCCCUUAAACUGCACUUUUACUUUAUAUGCUUUUCUGUACCUUUACUGUAGUAUUUCACGGAAAUUUUUAAAUAAUCAUGAAUGUUACCACUUUCCUAUUUAUGAACCAUGCAACCUCAUCAAUCUUCCCAGUUCGCAGAUGCCCACCCUCUCUCUCUGCCCCUGUCUCCUUCACAUAUCCCCAAAACUCGUUUUGGCCCGAAAUCCCUGAGGCCCAACUGCCCUGCUGUCAGCGACUGCACGCCUCAGCAAAGGCCCAGAAGGCUCUGUCAUCACUGGCUGCCCUCAGCCCGCCUUCAGCUCCUUUGAGCGCUGUGUUGGGGAACUUUGUUGCAAGGAUUUCGUUCCAGAAGGCAAGAUAAUGUCUCUGAGGGCUUCAUUGUGUCACUUCUCUUUGGAUGGCGGACACCGUGGCCCUCUGCUGGCGGAGGGGUGCCAUUGCUGCCUGCCCCAUCUCUAUCCCCAGGGCCCAUGCAGUCACUGGGUUCGCCCUCUGGGGCACGGGGUUCCCUCUGCUCUUUUCCUAGAUAAGCCCAUUCUCUGCAGGUCUCUACCCUCCACACCUGUGUUCAGGAAUUCAGCCCGCUUCCUGCAGCCCCAUCCCUACCCUCCUCCCAACCUGCUUUUCUUCUGGUGUCCCUCACUCAGCAUGGCUAACAGAUCCACCACCCAACGGAGCUGAGAACUGCAGUCCCCUCUGCCUGUUACCUCUCCUGCCAUUAGUGAACCUGCUUAACUCAUCUGACUGUGCGUCUCGGUGCUUGCUGUGACAUGUCUCCAGCCCUUGCUGCUCUGUCCCCCAGACCCACGUCCCACACCCGGAUGGUGACUCAGCCGACUCUGGGUCUUCUGGACCCAGUGCUUCUCCCUGAUACAAUUCCUUCCUCUGUGUUUUAGGAUCCUGAUGCUUUGAUAAGACCGUGGGCUCUAAUCACAGCCAGGGACAUUUGCAGCAGCCUGGCCUGCAGCUCUGCACACUGGGUGCACUCAGUCUAAAGCACCAGCUCCCCAUGAGAGAGAAAGAAGGGGUGAGGGGAAGUACAGAGAAAGCUCCUGAGGCCACAGGGCUGACAAAGCCCUCGGCUUUGGGGGCACUUUGUUUCUUCAAGACUAAAAUGCAGGCAAUGGAAUAAAUCAUUUGUUCCUAAAACAUGUUCUGCACAUGAUUAAAGCAGCUUUGGGAAGUCAAGUAAAUUGGGAAGCACUGGAUCAAACAAUGAUAAAUAAGUUUAUUGUCUGCAGGCCUUCUCAGAGCCUGUAGCAAGGUGAGAAGAAUCAUGCUUCUACAAAGAGGAAGGAGGGCAUGAGACAGUAUGCAACCUGUCCCAAACCCAUUUAGCCACAGAACCCUUUUUUCACGAGGUACCUCAAGGUUCCGUGGAGCAUAAUUUAGGAAACACAGAGGUAGAGGUCUUCUAUGAUCCCUUCCAGCUCUAAUAGUCUAUGAUUCUUUGAGUAAUAUAUACUUUGAGACAGGAUCACCAAAGUGAAAGUGUAGUGGCGAAAACACAGCUCAUUGCAGCCUUGACUUCCCAGGCUCAAGUGAUCCUCCCAC
rnacentral:lncRNA from 10 species